GUGGGCGUAGCUCAGUUGGUUAGAGCGCUGCGUUGACAUCGCAGAGGUCGUUGGUUCAAGUCCAUUCGUCCACACCA
rnacentral:tRNA from 1 species